rnacentral:tmRNA from 1 species
GGGGCUGUUUUUGGAUUUGACAAAAUUAUCAACAAAGUAAAGUGCAUGCCGAGGAACGGUUUGCCUCGAUAAAAGCCGUAAAAAAAUAAUUGCAAAUAAUAAACAAAACUACGCUUUAGCAGCUUAAAAAACUGAAUAAAGCCCUUCCUUCUUAUCCUCCUUCUCUUAGGAUGAGAAAACAGGAAGGUCAGAAAAAGAGAAAAACGUGGAUAUCAAGCUUGACGAUAACACGAAGUAGUUUUUUCAAGCUAUAUACCUAAUAUGUGUUUUUCCAAAUUAGGUAAUGAAUUCAAU